GAUGAAGAACGUAGCGAAAUGCGAUACGUAAUGUGAAUUGCAGAUUUCAGUGAAUCAUCGAAUCUUUGAACGCACAUGGCGCCCGCUAGUAUUCUGGCGGGCAUGCCUGUUCGAGCGUCAUUUCAACCAUCAAGCCCUAGGCUUGCGUUGGAGCCCUGCGGCUGCCGCAGGCUCCCAAAUCCAGUGGCGGGCUCGUCGUCGUACCGAGUGCAGUAAACAUCCUCGCUCAGGGAACGUGACGGGUUCUUGCCGUGAAACCCCCCACAUAUCAAGGUUGACCUCGGAUCAGGUAGGAAUACCCGCUGAACUUAAGCAUAUCAAUAAGCGGAGGA
rnacentral:misc_RNA from 1 species